UAAAAAGUAGUGGGUGACUUCUCGGUUAUUGCAGCUCAAUCUCUAACCAUCUCUAUCUUUCUUCAUUUACGGUGGCCACCUUCAAGCCGGGAUACAACCACCGUAUUCCAGACGUCGCCGCUGCCCAUUUCUCAUUUCUUGUUCAGCCUCGUCAUCUCUCCCUGCGUGGAUGAGAUGCCGGUGGAUCUGAUCGUCGAGGCUCUUCAGAUCUAUCUGAUCCGCCCUCACGAAUCCGCCACCGGUGUGGACGUUCCCUCCACCAUUUCUCCGGAAAGCGCAGAUGCAACGUCAGUGGAGCUUACGGUGGGAACGCGCAAUAAGCGACGACCUUCAACAACGAAAAGAUUUUUGGCAAAUGUCCCAAAACAUUGAGAAAACGGUUGAGAAAUCGAAGGGAGUCGUGCAGCUAUUCAAAUUUCUAAAAAUGAAAAAGGAAAUGCCAUGAUUAACAGUUCAAAAUCAAAGUCAAAGCUUAAAUGGGCGAGAGAAAGAAGCAUGCCAAGAAGUUCAUCCGAUAAGCGUAUAAAACAUGUACGAAAAAGUUUGAAAGGAACAGCUAGAGAUGCUGAGGACAACAGUAACACGAUUGUAAGCAAAGCGAGCCAAUAAGUCCGGAUAGUCCUAUUGAUGGGACUCCUAGACCUGCAUUUCAUUCGUCCUGCAAAGUUUUUACUGCUUCUGAUACCAGCACACAUGGUGGAUUUUCUGUCUUUCAUAAACAUGCAAAUGAGUGUCUUCCCCCAUUGAAUACGAGCCAACAGAUUCUGAGCUUCCGACACAGGAAUUGAUUGCUAGGGAUACACAUGGAAAUGAAUGGCAAUUCAAACAUAUAUUUAGAGAGGAAGAGAAUGGGGUUUUAAGAGUACAAACCGACUAAAAUUGGUGUUGUGCAUUAAAGUGUUUUCUGAGUGCAAAAGGACUAAAUUAAUGCUGUGAAGUCAAGUAAAUGAUCCCAAUAUAUUGCAAAUAGAAGUGGCAAAAAAGGCAAAUCAUUGAACAGAAAUUGUAAAAUGAGUUGCAGGAACUUCGUGAUCCAAAAUAUGAAUGAGAGAUGGCACUCAAGAUUUCACAGAUGAGGUGCAUCACAGCAAUGACAAAUACAAAUACAGUAAAUGAUCCCAAUAUAUUGCAAAUAGAAGUGGCAAAAAAAGGCAAAUCAUUGAACAGAAAUUGUAAAAUGAGUUGCAGGAACUUCGUGAUCCAAAAUAUGAAUGAGAGAUGGCACUCAAGAUUUCACAGAUGAGGUGCAUCACAGCAAUGACAAAUACAAGUUAGAAAACUACCUUCAUAGGGUGGUGCUAAGUAGUUAUGGAAACUUUUAAAAACAUAAGUAACAUUAAGACAAUAUGAAACUAAAAUAGAAAAAAAUAGUGAUAAAGCAGAAAUAGCAUAAACUGAAAGAAAUACAGUAAGAAUAAAGACUGCAGAUUCAUAGAAGAAUAGAUAAACAAUAAAUGAGCAGUGAUUUAAAUGAGAAUAGAUGAAUUAAGAAGAAGAAAGGUUCUGAACUAUUUCUGAUGAUGAUUCUGCUGAAUGAUUUUGGUUGAGAGAAUUUAGUGAGUCACUGAAGGAGUGAGUGGCAGGGGUAUUUAUAGUGCUCACCUCUUCAACAUGCUUGUUGGAAAAUUAUGCAUGUUCCCAAAAAAACAUAAUCAUGAGAGACCUUCCGCAUAACAACUAUUUUCUAUUUAUAAAAAAUAUCUAAUAAUAAUAUUCAGACUUAAAAUACUUUAACAACUUGCAUGCCAAGUAUUAAUACAAAGUCUUUUACACUUAUAUUCAUAUUAGUAUUAUUAUUAAUUAAUAUUAAUACGAAUAUAAAAUUAAUAUUAAUAUGAAUAUAAGUUAAAUAUUAUAGAUUCAUGUCUCAUACAUUAAUAUUAAUAUUAAUAUUGAUAUGAAUAUAAGUUAAAUAUUACAGAUUCAUUUCUCAUAAAUUCGGCCUAUUUAAUUUCAUAAGUUUGCAACCAUAUAAGGUCAUUUAAGGCCCAAUUCAUUUCAGCAAUUAUUAACUUCACUUGUACUAUUAUAUAUAGGUGACUUAUUGAGUUAAAAAAAACACCUAACCCUAAAAAUAUAAUAGCAGCCUCUCACUCUCAACUCUUCAGAAAAAGGAAAGAGAAGGAAAAGAAAAGCGGCCUCUCUCUCUUCACUCUGCAAUCAUUAUAAAGAGAAGAUAACAUUGCAAGCAUGGGCGGCUACAAUACCUACUCCUACUCCUACUCCUACUCUACUGAAUCAAGACAUCACCAUAUAAAAAAAAAGGUAUGUAAUUCUUUCUUUUCGAGCUAUGUCCUGUAUCUAUAUUUGACAACAUAGUCAUAUCUAACUUACAUUAGCAUAAUGUUGAUGAGGUAUUAGAGAUUAUUAGAGUCAGAUUUCAAAUACAAUUACUACUCUUUGCAAAUAUUAAUUCUAGAAUGCUUUGCAAAUCCUAUCAUCUAUUUAUUUAAUAGGGUGUAUUAUGUCUCCAAUUUUCUUUACACAAACGAAUACAGUGCUUAGUUUUUAAAAUAUAUAUACUACUUGAUAGGUUUUUCAUUUAAUAUGGUAUCUGUUCAUUUACAACAGAUUUAUAAAUUUAUAUUCUGUCCCACUCUCUCUCUCUCUCUCUCUCUCUCUCUCUUAUUUUUCAUGUUCUAAAAUUUUAAUUUCAUUCUCUCUUUCUUUUUCUUUUUCUUUUUCUUUUUCUUUUUCUUUUUUAUCAUGUUCUAAAAUUGUGACUAUAUUCUCUCAGUCUGGAUUUCUCUGAUGCUGCUUCAUUGAUAAUUCUAAAUAUAGGUUUUAAAUAUUAAAACUAACAUAUUAUUUAACCUUGUUCAAGGAUAAAUUGAAUUGGAAAUAGAUAAUUGCUAUUGCCUUGCAGGAAAUAUUUUUGUACAUUUAAUAGUUUGUCACCCUCCGUCUUUGUGUGAAGAUUUUUGUACAUUUAAUAGUUUGUCACCCUCCGUCUUUGUGCGUCUCUUGGCAUAUCUCUCCCUGUAUGUCUCAUGUUUCAUGAUCUAAAAUUAUGAUUUUAUUCUCAUUUUUCACAUGAAUGAAAUUGUGAUUUUAUUCCCUGCC